AUGGAGGAGAAGCCGAGCCUCUCGUCGGCGCUGUUCGCCGGCACCCGCUUCGACCGCAAGCGCUUCGCGGGGGACAUCGCGCGGUUCCGGACGGGCGCGCAGCCCGCCCCCGCGGCCCCCGACGUGGCGCCGCCGGCCCCGGAGAAGAAGCGGAAGCGCAAGAGCAAGGCCAACGCGAAGAAGAUCAGCAAGAAGAAGAAGAAGCGCGCCGACGGGGCCGCCUCCGCGUCCGAUGUUGUGGAGGGGUUCAGCGUGUUCAAGGGGGCGGAGGCGAAGGAGGUGGUGGAGGAGUCUGUGGAGGUGGUGGUCAGGGAGGACGAGGACUCGGCCGUCGUGAGGCGGCGGAAGGAGGCCGAGAGGGAAAUCGAGAGAGCUGCCAUCCUCAGGAAGAGGUAUGACAUCCACAUUUCGGGACAUAAUGUUCCAGCACCACUGGAGAGCUUUGAAGAAUUGGUUUCAAGGUAUGACUGUGAUUCAUAUUUGGUUGGGAACUUGUCAAAACUUGGGUUUCAAGAACCUACACCUAUCCAGAGGCAGGCCAUUUCUAUCCUUCUUUCAGGCAGGGAGUGCUUUGCUUGUGCACCUACAGGCUCUGGCAAGACACUGGCAUUCUUGCUCCCGAUGCUUAUGAAAAUCAAGCCAGGGUCUAAAGGAGGCGUUAAGGCUGUUAUUCUUUGCCCAACAAGGGAAUUGGCAGCACAAACUACGAGAGAGUGCAAGAAGUUGGCAAAAGGGAGGAAGUUUGGUGUCAAACUAAUGACCAAAGAUCUAUCACAAGAUGGUAAUUUCAAGGAUAUGCACUGCGACAUCCUUGUAUCAACCCCGCUUCGUUUGGACCAUGCUAUACGAAAGAGAGAUCUUGACUUAAGUAGGGUGGAGUACCUUGUGUUGGAUGAAUCUGAUAAACUUUUUGAGCUUGGAUUUGUCGAAGUGAUUGAUUCAAUUGUCAAAUCAUGCUCAAACCCUUCAAUAAUUCGUUCUUUGUUUAGUGCCACAUUGCCUGAAACAAUAGAGGCUCUUGCACGUACAAUAAUGCAUGAUGCUGUUCGGAUCAUUGUGGGACGAAAGAAUUCAGCUUCCUCAAUGAUCAAGCAAAAGUUGAUUUUUGCUGGAACCGAGAGGGGGAAGCUGAUAGCUCUUCGCCAAAGCUUUGCAGAAUCCCUGAAUCCACCGGUAUUGGUCUUUGUUCAAAGCAAAGAGAGGGCAAAAGAGCUCUACAGAGAGCUGGUAUAUGACGACAUUAGAGUUGAUGUAAUCCAUGGAGACCUUACUGAAGAGCAGCGUCAAGAUGCUGUUGACAACUUGAGAGCUGGAAAAAGCUGGGUGCUAAUAGCAACAGAGGUUCUUGCGCGGGGAAUGGAUUUCAAAGGUGUCAACUGUGUAAUCAACUAUGAUUUCCCUGAGUCCGCGUCUGCCUACAUUCACAGAAUAGGACGGUCUGGAAGAGCAGGCAGGUCGGGGGAGGCGAUCACGUUCUUCACGGAGGAGGACAAGCCGUUCCUGCGGAACAUCGCCAACGUGCUGGUAUCUUCGGGCUGCGAGGUCCCUUCCUGGAUGGUGGCGUUGCCCAAGCUCAAGAGCAGGAAGCACAGGGUGGACAGGGACCGCAUCUCCUUUUUAACCGACGAAGAUUGA
rnacentral:rRNA from 1 species